AUGAAGAACGCAGCGAAAUGCGAUACUUGGUGUGAAUUGCAGAAUCCCGUGAACCAUCGAGUCUUUGAACGCAAGUUGCGCCUCAAGCCAUUAGGUUGAGGGCACGUCUGCCUGGGCGUCACAUAUCGUUGCCUGAUGCCAGUUUCCUCGUGAUGGGUGACUGUGCAGGGCGAAUGAUGGCUUCCCGUGAGCAUUGUUGCCUCAUGGUUGGUUGAAAAUUGAGUCCUUGGUAGGGAGCGCCGUGAUAGAUGGUGGUUGAGUGACGAACGAGACCCAAUCAUGUGAGACCCCUACCGAAUUUGGCCUUCAUGACCCACAUGCGUCUUUGGAACGCUCAUGACGAGACCUCAGGUCAGGCGGGGCUACCCGCUGAGUUUAAGCAUAUCAAUAAGCGGAGGA
rnacentral:misc_RNA from 1 species